rnacentral:rRNA from 1 species
GAUGAACGCUAGCGGCAGGCUUAACACAUGCAAGUCGAGGGGUAUUGGUUUUCGGACCAAGAGACCGGCGCACGGGUGCGUAACGCGUAUGCAAUCUACCUUUUGCAGAGGGAUAGCCCAGAGAAAUUUGGAUUAAUGCCCCAUAGUAUAGCAGUUUCGCAUGAAACUACUAUUAAAGUACCAACGGUAAAAGAUGAGCAUGCGUCCCAUUAGCUAGAUGGUAAGGUAACGGCUUACCAUGGCGACGAUGGGUAGGGGUCCUGAGAGGGAGAUCCCCCACACUGGUACUGAGACACGGACCAGACUCCUACGGGAGGCAGCAGUGAGGAAUAUUGGUCAAUGGGCGCAAGCCUGAACCAGCCAUGCCGCGUGCAGGAAGACGGUCCUAUGGAUUGUAAACUGCUUUUAUACAAAGAAGAAACACUCCCUCGUGAGGGAACUUGACGGUACUGUAUGAAUAAGGACCGGACUAACUCCGUGCCAGCGAGCCGCGGUAAAGU